ACAAACCAGAGAACCUUUUAAAGAUCAUGUUAAUCGUUUAAGCUCAUCAAAAGAAAGUUUUUUCUUCCGUCGUCCGUUGAGAUUUCUCUUCUCAUUGUUGACCGAAAAUACGUUCGAAAUGAGGUACUUGUCGAUGGCGAUCUGCGUCCUCGUGACAUUCGCGCUGCCGAAAUCUAUCUGUGGACAUCCUGCGACUGACAACAGCAGGUCGGUCUUGAAUACGUUGGAAUCACGUGUUUCAAAACUAGAAGCUAUCUCAGAACCAAAAGUGAUCUCAACGCUUAUUCAACAGAAAAACUUGUUGAUUCCGACUAAAUCACGACAAAGACGCUUAUCGGAUCAAAGACUAGCCGAGCUGGAGACGCUAAUGAGUUUGUCAAAACUUGUUUCUCAAUCGCUUGUUACGACUUCUGGACAUGAACAACCAGAUCCAACGAUAAUUGGCCGUCGAAGACGUUUCACGAUGAAUCAGACUACACCGAGUUAAUGUAUCUAUUAAAGCGAAACAUAUCGAGAAUUGCGUAUAUUCUCUAAUUAGUUGAGUAGACUGAUAGCGUCCGAAAAAUGAAAGCGUAUAUUUCGUAUCACGAUGAAUGAGCCUGGUAUGUAUUAGGUGUUGGAAUUAAUUCGUAGCGUUUU
rnacentral:misc_RNA from 1 species